CUUUAGUUUGAAACCCCGAAACCAGGUGAGCUACCCCGAGACAGCCUAUUUACUUAGGGCUAACCCGUCUCUGUGGCAAAAGAGUGGGAAGAGCUCCGGGUAGAAGUGACAGACCUACCGAACCUGGUGAUAGCUGGUUGUCUGAGAGAUGGAUAGAAGUUCAGCCCUAUUACGCCCCCGACCAAAACACACCGCUCAAGGUGCAAGGGAAAUAUUUAGGAGUUAGUUAGAGGGGGUACAGCCCCUCUAACAAAGGAUACAACCUUAUAAAGGAGAAUAAAGAUCAUAAUCUACAAGACAUACUGUUCUAGUGGGCCUAAAAGCAGCCACCUAAACAGAAAGCGUUAAAGCUCAGACAGAAAGAAGUUUAUUAUAAUGAUAACAAAUCUUAUUUCCCUAAUAAUAUCAGACCACCCCAUGCCCGCAUGGAAGAAAUUAUGCUAAAAUGAGUAACAAGAAGACUUGCUCUUCUCCAAGCACAAGUGUAAGCCAGAUCGGACAAGCCGCUGGAAAUUAACGAACUCAACCAAAAGAGAGUACUGCGGAUAAUAAAAAAACCAAGAAAACCCCGCAACCAGGCAUCGUUAACCCCACACUGGAAUGCUAUAAUAAAGGAAAGACUAAAAGAAAGGGAAGGAACUCGGCAAACACAAGCCUCGCCUGUUUACCAAAAACAUCGCCUCCUGCAACUAAACCAAGUAUAGGAGGUCCAGCCUGCCCAGUGACUAAGGGUUCAACGGCCGCGGUAUUUUGACCGUGCAAAGGUAGCGCAAUCACUUGUCUUUUAAAUAGAGACCUGUAUGAAUGGCUAAACGAGGGCUUAACUGUCUCCCCCUUCGGGUCAGUGAAAUUGAUCUAUCCGUGCAGAAGCGGAUAUAAUUAUACAAGACGAGAAGACCCUUUGGAGCUUAAGGUACAAAACUUAACCACGUCAAACAACUUAAUCAAAAAGCAAGAACUUAGUGGGCCAUGAGACUUUACCUUCGGUUGGGGCGACCGCGGAGGAAAACCCAGCCUCCGAGUGGAAUGGGCCAAACCCCCUAAAACUAAGAGAAACAUCUCUAAGCCGCAGAACAUCUGACCAAAAAUGAUCCGGCUAAAGUCGAUCAACGAACCAAGUUACCCUAGGGAUAACAGCGCAAUCCUCUCCCAGAGUCCAUAUCGACGAGGGGGUUUACGACCUCGAUGUUGGAUCAGGACAUCCUAAUGGUGCAGCCG
rnacentral:rRNA from 1 species